rnacentral:rRNA from 1 species
AGUGGACGCUGGCGGUAGGCCUAACACAUGCAAGUCGAACGGCAGCACAGUAAGAGCUUGCUCUUACGGGUGGCGAGUGGCGGACGGGUGAGGAAUACAUCGGAAUCUACUUUUUCGUGGGGGAUAAUGUAGGGAAACUUACGCUAAUACCGCAUACGACCUACGGGUGAAAGCAGGGGAUCUUCGGACCUUGCGCGAUUGAAUGAGCCGAUGUCGGAUUAGCUAGUUGGCGGGGUAAAGGCCCACCAAGGCGACGAUCCGUAGCUGGUCUGAGAGGAUGAUCAGCCACACUGGAACUGAGACACGGUCCAGACUCCUACGGGAGGCGGCAGUGGGGAAUAUUGGACAAUGGGCGCAAGCCUGAUCCAGCCAUACCGCGUGGGUGAAGAAGGCCUUCGGGUUGUAAAGCCCUUUUGUUGGGAAAGAAAAGCAGCAGGUUAAUACCCCGCUGUUCUGACGGUACCCAAAGAAUAAGCACCGGCUAACUUCGUG